GAUGAACGCUAGCGGCAGGCUUAACACAUGCAAGUCGAGGGGUAGAAGCAGCUUGCUGCUUUGAGACCGGCGCACGGGUGCGUAACGCGUAUGCAAUCUACCUUUUACAGAGGGAUAGCCCAGAGAAAUUUGGAUUAAUACCUCAUAGUAUGUGAGAAUCGCAUGGUUUUCACAUUAAAGUUCCAACGGUAAAAGAUGAGCAUGCGUCCCAUUAGCUAGAUGGUAAGGUAACGGCUUACCAUGGCGACGAUGGGUAGGGGUCCUGAGAGGGAGAUCCCCCACACUGGUACUGAGACACGGACCAGACUCCUACGGAGGCAGCAGUGGGGAAUUUUGGACAAUGGACGCAAGUCUGAUCCAGCCAUUCCGCGUGCAGGAUGAAGGCCCCUCGGGUUGUAAAACUGCUUUUGUACGGAACGAAAAGGUUUCUAAUUAAUACUAGGAGCUCAUGACGGUACCGUAAGAAUAAGCACCGGCUAACUACGUGCCAGCAGCCG
rnacentral:rRNA from 1 species